CUGCCAGACUCCUACGGGAGGCAGCAGUGAGGAAUAUUGGUCAAUGGCCGAGAGGCUGAACCAGCCAAGUCGCGUGAGGGAUGACGGCCCUACGGGUUGUAAACCUCUUUUGUCGGGGAGCAAAGAGAGUCACGUGUGGCUCAUUGAGAGUACCCGAAGAAAAAGCAUCGGCUAACUCCGUGCCAGCAGCCGCGGUAAUACGGAGGAUGCGAGCGUUAUCCGGAUUUAUUGGGUUUAAAGGGUGCGCAGGCGGAUUUUUAAGUCAGCGGUCAAAUCGUGGGGCUCAACCCCAUCCAGCCGUUGAAACUGGUUUUCUUGAGUGAGCGAGAAGUAUGCGGAAUGCGUGGUGUAGCGGUGAAAUGCAUAGAUAUCACGCAGAACUCCGAUUGCGAAGGCAGCAUACCGGCGCUCAACUGACGCUCAUGCACGAAAGUGUGGGUAUCGAACAGGAUUAGAUACCCGCGUACAC
rnacentral:rRNA from 1 species